GCAGGUUGAAGCGCGGGUAAGACCGCGUGGAGGACCGAACCCACCUGGGUUGAAAACCGGGGGGAUGACUUGGGGCUAGGGGUGAAAGGCCAAUCAAAUUCCGUGAUAGCUGGUUCUCUCCGAAAUGCAUUUGGGUGCAGCGUCGGGUCAUUACGUCCCGGGGGUAGAGCUACUGGAUGCUUGCGGGCCCGUAUCGGGUACCAACAGCAACCAAACUCCGAAUACCGGUGACGCGUAUCCCGGCAGUGAGUCGGCGGGGGAUAAGCUUCGUCGUCGAAAGGGAAACAGCCCAGACCGUCGUCUAAGGUCCCGAAGCGUGUGCUAAGUGGGAAAGGAUGUGGAGUCGCAUAGACAGCCAGGAGGUUGGCUCAGAAGCAGCCACCCUUGAAAGAGUGCGUAACAGCUCACUGGUCUAGUGGUUCCGCGCCGACAAUGUAGCGGGGCUCAAGCACACCACCGAAGACGCGGCAGUAUUUUGUACUGGGUAGGAGAGCGUCCCAUGAGGGGCGAAGCGGCCGUGUGAACGCGCCGUGGACUUCAUGGGAGUGAGAAUGCAGACAUGAGUAGCGAGAGACGGGUGAAGAUCCCGUCCGCUGGAUGACCAAGGGUUCCAGGGCCACGUUCAUCGUCCCUGGGUGAGUCGGGUCCUAAGGCGAGGCCGACAGGCGUAGUCGAAUGGAUGAACGGGUCGAUAUUCCCGUACCGGCUUUCAGCCGCCAAAACCGAGGCUUGGAGUACUAACCUCCGGGUCCGGGCUUACUGCUCCUUCGGGGGCGGGAUGCCCUGGCCUGUUGGGACCGAUCCUUGUAGUAGGUCAGCGCAGGAGUGACGCAGAAGGGUAGCCGGCCGCGGAGGUGGUCUUCCGUGGUCAAGCACGCAGGGCGUGGGACAGGCAAAUCCGUCCCGCAUGGGUCCGAGGUGCGAUGAUGGGGGCCUUAUGGCCCGAUAUCCGGUGAUCCCGGCUGCCGAGAAAAGCUUCGGCGUCAGGCUCGAAGCCGCCCGUACCCCAAACCGACACUGGUGGUCAGGUAGAGAAUACCAAAGCGAUCGAGCGAAUCCUGGUCAAGGAACUCGGCAAAUCACUCCCGUUCCUUCGGUUUAAGGGAGACCCCCGAUGGUGAACACGCUUGCUGUGGGAGCUUUUGGGGGUGGCACAGACCAGGGGGUAGCGACUGUUUACCAAAAACACAGGUGCAUGCGAAGGCGCAAGCCGCUGUAUAUGCACUGACGCCUGCCCGGUGCCGGAAGGUUAAGAGGAUCCGUCAGCCUUCGGGUGAAGCGGUGAAUUCAAGCCCCGGUAAACGGCGGUGGUAACUAUAACCAUCCUAAGGUAGCGAAAUUCCUUGUCGGGUAAGUUCCGACCUGCACGAAUGGCGUAACGACUUCCCCACUGUCUCGACCAGGAGCUCGGCGAAAUUGCAGUACGAGUAAAGAUGCUCGUUAAGCGCAGAAGGACGAAAAGACCCCGGGACCUUUACUAUACCUUGGUAUUGGCAUUCGGUGUGGAUUGUGUAGCAUAGGCGGGAGGCCGAGAGGCGCGGUCGCCAGAUCGCGCGGAGCCGUAAGGUGAAAUACCGCUCUGUUCGCAUUGGAUGUCUAACCUCGAACAGUCAUCCUGUUCAGGGACAGUGCCUGGCGGGUAGUUUAACUGGGGCGGUUGCCUCCCAAAGAGUAACGGAGGCGCCCAAAGGUCCGCUCAGCCCGGUUGGCAAUCGGGUGGCGAGUGCAAGUGCACAAGCGGGCUUGACUGCGAGGACGACGGUCCGAGCAGGGACGAAAGUCGGGACUAGUGAUCCGGUGCCGGUGUACGGACGCGGCAUCGCUCAACGGAUAAAAGGUACCCCGGGGAUAACAGGCUGAUCAUUCCCAAGAGUCCAUAUCGACGGGAUGGUUUGGCACCUCGAUGUCGGCUCGUCGCAUCCUGGGGCUGGAGCAGGUCCCAAGGGUUCGGCUGUUCGCCGAUUAAAGCGGCACGCGAGCUGGGUUCAGAACGUCGUGAGACAGUUUGGUCUCUAUCCUCUGCGCUCGUUGGAAUGCUGAGGAGGCCUGCCCAUAGUACGAGAGGACCUGGGUGGACGAACCUCUGGUAUGCCGGUUGUCACGCCAGUGGCACGGCCGGUUGGCUACGUUCGGAAGGGAUAACCGCUGAAAGCAUCUAAGCGGGAAGCCUGCUCCAAGAUAAGCAUUCCGUGGAACCUUCGAGUUCCUGUAGUCCCCAUGCAGAACACGUGGUCGAUAGGCCGGACGUGGAAGCCCCGCGAGGGGUGGAGCCGACCGGUACUAACGGACGAAAGGCAACACUGA
rnacentral:rRNA from 1 species